CAGUAGCGGCGAGUGAAGCGGCAAGAGCUCAGAUUUGAAAUCGUGUUUCGGCACGAGUUGUAGAGUGUAGGCGGGAGUCUCUGUGGAGCGCGGUGUCCAAGUCCCUUGGAACAGGGUGCCUGAGAGGGUGAGAGCCCCGUAGGGUGCUGCGCGAAGCUUUUGAGGCCCUGCUGACGAGUCGAGUUGUUUGGGAAUGCAGCUCCAAGCGGGUGGUAAAUUCCAUCUAAGGCUAAAUAUUGGCGAGAGACCGAUAGCGAACAAGUACUGUGAAGGAAAGAUGAAAAGCACUUUGAAAAGAGAGUGAAACAGCACGUGAAAUUGUUGAAAGGGAAGGGUAUUGGGCUCGACAUGGGGGGUGCGCACCGCUGUCU
rnacentral:rRNA from 1 species